AAUCGAGAUAGUUAACUAGACUUUAACGGUGAAUACAUACGUAUUAGAUAUUGCAUUAAAUCGAACAGAUUCAACAUUAGCGCCAAAUGUAGCAUUCUCGUUCAUGUUACAAUCCCCCCGUUCGUAGGAUUUCCAGGAAUCACACUUAAUAGCCUGAUAGUUAUUGGAGUUGAUGGAUUCGAUGAAAUACAAAUAGCUUUUAAUAUGACUGCAAAACACUGGAAAAAUAGGCACAAAAGACUCCAAACUGGUAGGAGUAACAAAAGUAAUAGUUGUACAACCGGGUUGUGGCCGUACACCCCCAUUUACAUAAAAA